rnacentral:rRNA from 1 species
CCUACGGGAGGCAGCAGUGAGGAAUAUUGGUCAAUGGGCGAGAGCCUGAACCAGCCAAGUCGCGUGAGGGAAGACGGUCCUAUGGAUUGUAAACCUCUUUUGUCGGGGAGCAAAAAGGCCUCGUGAGGCCACAAGUGAGAGUACCCGAAGAAAAAGCAUCGGCUAACUCCGUGCCAGCAGCCGCGGUAAUACGGAGGAUGCGAGCGUUAUCCGGAUUUAUUGGGUUUAAAGGGUGCGUAGGCGGACUGGAAAGUCAGCGGUAAAAUCGAGAGGCUCAACCUCUUUCCGCCGUUGAAACUGUCGGU